rnacentral:rRNA from 1 species
GACGAACGCUGGCGGCGUGCUUAACACAUGCAAGUCGAACGGAAAGGCCCUGCUUUUGUGGGGUGCUCGAGUGGCGAACGGGUGAGUAACACGUGAGUAACCUGCCCUUGACUUUGGGAUAACUUCAGGAAACUGGGGCUAAUACCGGAUAGGAGCUCCUGCUGCAUGGUGGGGGUUGGAAAGUUUCGGCGGUUGGGGAUGGACUCGCGGCUUAUCAGCUUGUUGGUGGGGUAGUGGCUUACCAAGGCUUUGACGGGUAGCCGGCCUGAGAGGGUGACCGGCCACAUUGGGACUGAGAUACGGCCCAGACUCCUACGGGAGGCAGCAGUGGGGAAUAUUGCACAAUGGGCGGAAGCCUGAUGCGGCAACGCCGCGUGCGGGAUGACGGCCUUCGGGUUGUAAACCGCUUUCGCCUGUGACGAAGCGUGAGUGACGGUAAUGGGGAAAGAAGCACCGGCUAACUACGU